rnacentral:rRNA from 1 species
GAUGAACGCUGACAGAAUGCUUAACACAUGCAAGUCGAUGGGGAAGUGGUGCUUGCACCAUGGUAACCAUGGCGGACGGGUGAGUAACACGUAAGGAACUUACCUGCGGGACCGGGAUAACAGCAGGAAACUGCUGACAAGACCGGAUAAGGUCAUUAAGCUGCAUAGCUUAGUGAUGAAAGGAGACGCCUGCGGAGAGCCUUGCGUCCUAUUAGCUAGUUGGAGGGGUAACGGCCCACCAAGGCGAAGAUAGGUAGCCGGCCUGAGAGGGUGGACGGCCACAAGGGGACUGAGAUACGGCCCUUACUCCUACGGGAGGCAGCAGUGGGGAAUAUUGGACAAUGGGGGCAACCCUGAUCCAGCAAUUCUGUGUGCACGAAGACGGUUUUCGGAUUGUAAAGUGCUUUCAGCAGGGAAGAAGGAAGUGACGGUACCUGCAGAAGAAGCCACGGCUAAAUACGUG